AUACGUAGGGAGCGAGCGUUGUCCGGAAUUACUGGGUGUAAAGGGUGCGUAGGCGGGACGGCAAGUCAGAUGUGAAAUACCGGGGCUCAACCCCGGGGCUGCAUUUGAAACUGUCGUUCUUGAGUGAGGUAGAGGGAAGCGGAAUUCCUAGUGUAGCGGUGAAAUGCGUAGAUAUUAGGAGGAACAUCGGUGGCGAAGGCGGCUUACUGGGCCUUUACUGACGCUGAGGCACGAAAGCGUGGGGAGCAAACAGGAUUAGAUACCCUGGUAGUCCACGCUGUAAACGAUGAUGACUAGGUGUGGGGGGACUGAACCCUUCCGUGCCGCAGUUAACACAAUAAGUCAUCCACCUGGGGAGUACGGCCGCAAGGUUGAAACUCAAAUGAAUUGACGGGG
rnacentral:rRNA from 1 species